rnacentral:rRNA from 1 species
CAGUCGCCACGGUAAUACGAAGGGUGCAAGCGUUAAUCGGAAUUACUGGGCGUAAAGCGUGCGUAGGCGGUUCGUUAAGUCUGUUGUGAAAGCCCCGGGCUCAACCUGGGAAUGGCAAUGGAUACUGGCGAGCUAGAGUGUGUCAGAGGAUGGUGGAAUUCCCGGUGUAGCGGUGAAAUGCGUAGAGAUCGGGAGGAACAUCAGUGGCGAAGGCGGCCAUCUGGGACAACACUGACGCUGAGGCACGAAAGCGUGGGGAGCAAACAGGAUUAGAUACCCCUGUAGUCCCUGUCUCUUAUAC